rnacentral:rRNA from 1 species
UACAGAGGGGGCAAGCGUUGUUCGGAAUUACUGGGCGUAAAGGGCGCGUAGGCGGCCAACUAAGUCAUACGUGAAAUCCCUCGGCUUAACCCGGGAACUGCGUCCGAUACUGGCAGGCUUGAAUCCGGGAGAGGGAUGUGGAAUUCCAGGUGUAGCGGUGAAAUGCGUAGAUAUCUGGAGGAACACCGGUGGCGAAGGCGGCAUCCUGGACCGGUAUUGACGCUGAGGCGCGAAAAGCUAGGGGAGCAAACGGGG